rnacentral:tRNA from 2 species
GCCGCCAUAGCUCAGUUGGUAGAGCAAGUGUUUCGUAAACACUAGGUCGUGAGUUCAAGUCUCGCUGGCGGCU